GACGAACGCUGGCGGCGCUCCUAACACAUGCAAGUCGAACGAGCGAGAGAGAGCUUGCUUUCUCGAGCGAGUGGCGAACGGGUGAGUAACGCGUGAGGAACCUGCCUCAAAGAGGGGGACAACAGUUGGAAACGACUGCUAAUACCGCAUAAGCCCACAGCUCGGCAUCGAGCAGAGGGAAAAGGAGUGAUCCGCUUUGAGAUGGCCUCGCGUCCGAUUAGCUGGUUGGUGAGGUAACGGCCCACCAAGGCGACGAUCGGUAGCCGGACUGAGAGGUUGAACGGCCACAUUGGGACUGAGACACGGCCCAGACUCCUACGGGAGGCAGCAGUGGGGAAUAUUGCACAAUGGGGGAAACCCUGAUGCAGCGACGCCGCGUGGAGGAAGAAGGUCUUCGGAUUGUAAACUCCUGUUGUUGAGGAAGAUAAUGACGGUACUCAACAAGGAAGUGACGGCUAACUACGUGCCAGCAGCCGCGGUAAAACGUAGGUCACAAGCGUUGUCCGGAAUUACUGGGUGUAAAGGGAGCGCAGGCGGGAAAGCAAGUUGGAAGUGAAAUCCAUGGGCUCAACCCAUGAACUACUUUCAAAACUGUUUUUCUUGAGUAGUGCAGAGGUAGGCGGAAUUCCCGGUGUAGCGGUGGAAUGCGUAGAUAUCGGGAGGAACACCAGUGGCGAAGGCGGCCUACUGGGCACCAACUGACGCUGAGGCUCGAAAGUGUGGGUAGCAAACAGG
rnacentral:rRNA from 1 species